rnacentral:rRNA from 1 species
UUAUAUGCUUGUCUCAAAGGCUAAGCCAUGCAUGUCUUCGUUCAUGCUCUCGAACAGUGAAACCGCGAAUGGCUCAUUAAAUCAGUUAUGGUUCCUUAGAUCGUAUACUGAGUUGGAUAACUCUGGUAAACUGGAGCUAAUACAUGCGAAAAGCCUUAACCUAACGGAAGAGGCGCAUUUAUUAGAUCAAAAUCAGCUGGACUGGUUGCUUCGGCAGUCGGUCUGAUGAUUGUGAUGACUCUGGAUAACAUUUGCUGACCGCUUAGGGCUUUGACCCGGCGGCGUAUCUUUCAAAUGUCUGCCCUAUCAACUUGAUGGUACGUGAUUUGCCUACCAUGGUUAUAACGGGUAACGGGGAAUCAGGGUUCGAUUCCGGAGAGGGAGCAUGAGAAACGGCUACCACAUCUAAGGAAGGCAGCAGGCGCGCAAAUUACCCACUCCCGGAACGGGGAGGUAGUGACGAGAAAUUACGAUGCUGGGUACAUUAGUUGCUCAGCAAUCGUCUUGAGUACAUUUUAAAUCCUUUAACGAGGAUCUAUUGGAGGGCAAGUCUGGUGCCAGCAGCCGCGGUAAUUCCAGCUCCAAUAGCGUAUAUUAAAGUUGUUGCGGUUAAAAAGCUCGUAGUUGGAUGUGGACCACAGCUGUGCGGUCCGUCGGUGUGACGGCUACUGCUCAGCUGGGUCUCUUCGCCGGACCCAUCCCAGGCUGCUCUUAGCUGAGUGGCUUGGGUGGCCGGAACGUUUACUUUGAGAAAAUCAGCGUGCUCAAAGCAGGCUUACUGCUCGAAUAGUAGUGCAUGGAAUAAUGGAAUAGGACCUUCGGGCCUAUUUGUUGGUUUUUGGACCGAGGUAAUGGUUAAUAGAGACAGACGGGGGCAUUCGUACUGCGGCGUUAGAGGUGAAAUUCGAAGAUCGUCGCAAGACGAACGACAGCGAAAGCAUUUGCCAAGGAUGUUUUCAUUAAUCAAGAACGAAAGUCGGAGGUUCGAAGGGGAUCAGAUACCCCCCUAGUUCUGACCAUAAACGAUGCCAACUAGCGAUCGGCCAGCGUUAUUUCAAUGACCUGGCCGGGAGCUUCCGGGAAACCAAAGUUUUUGGGUUCCGGGGGAAGUAUGGUUGCAAAGCUGAAACUUAAAGAAAUUGACGGAAGGGCACCACCAGGAGUGGAGCCUGUGGCUUAAUUUGACUCAACACGGGAAAACUCACCCGGCCCGGACACCGGAAGGAUUGACAGAUUGAAAGCUCUUUCUCGAUUCGGUGGAUGGUGGUGCAUGGCCGUUCUUAGUUGGUGGAGUGAUUUGUCUGGUUAAUUCCGAUAACGAACGAGACUCUGACCUGCUAAAUAGUCCAGGCUCACCGUACGGUGAGUUCUGCCGACUUCUUAGAGGGACUGGUGGCUUAUCCAAGUCACACGAGAUUGAGCAAUAACAGGUCUGUGAUGCCCUUAGAUGUUCGGGGCUGCACACGCGCUACACUGGUGGAAACAGCGUGCUGUGUCCUGGUCCGAAAGGAUUGGGUAAACCGGUCAACCUUCCCCGUGCUUGGGAUAGCGGAUUGGAAUUAUUUCGCUUCAACGAGGAAUUCCUAGUAAGCGCGUGUCAUAAGCUGGCGCUGAUUACGUCCCUGCCCUUUGUACACACCGCCCGUCGCUACGACCGACUGUUUCUGUCAAUGAAGCUGUAGGAUCUGGCUCUGGCCGGGCUUCACGGCCUGGCCGUGAGAUCGGAGAUCACAGUUGAGUUGAUACGAAAUACAGGACGUAAAAGUCGUAACAAGGUUUCC